rnacentral:lncRNA from 1 species
CUCACUAUCUUUUUCCUCAGGGUUCUUCUCUCACUAUCUUUUUCCCAGACAAGGUAAUAGGAAUAGAAUAUAUCUUUGUUUCACUGAAACUCUGAAUUUAUAACCUGAUUUUGGUAACUUAGUGGGCUUUCGAGAGAGGUCCAAGUCUGAGAUUUUUUCUUUUAUUUAUUUUUUAUUUUUUAUUUUUUAUUUUUUAUUUUUUAUUUUUUUUUCGUAUUCCGUUUUUUUUUUCGUUUUUUUCGUUUUUUUUCGUUUUUUUCGUUUUUUUUUUUAAAUAAAGCUUCUUGGAUCUGAUUCUGAUUGACAUGAUGAAAUGCAAUGUGAAAUGUUAAAUGACCUAAAAAUGAAUGCAUGCAUAAGGGGUAAAGCGUAU